AAACCUUUUUCCUAAAAAGCAAAAAGCUGCUUCUGCUGCAUCACAAGAUUUAUUUGAUGACUUUCAGGUUGAUAACGAAGAGUUGACGCUAAUCGAGGAUUCAUUGAUGAUUGAUGAUGCUUCUUCGGACAACAAGAAAAAA